rnacentral:rRNA from 1 species
UUGGAGGGCAAGUCUGGUGCCAGCAGCCGCGGUAAUUCCAGCUCCAAUAGCGUAUAUUAAAGUUGUUGCAGUUAAAAAGCUCGUAGUUGAAUUUCGAGACCGGUUUACUGGUCGUGCUUUUGUACGUACUGGUAUUAUUGGUUUCUCCUUUCUGACGAAUCUUAAUGCCAUUAAUUUGGUGUUUUGGGGAAUCAGGACUGUUACUUUGAAAAAAUUAGAGUGUUUAAAGCAGACUAUCGUCUGAAUACAUUAGCAUGGAAUAAUGAAAUAGGACGGACUGAUUCUAUUUCGUUGGUUUCUAGGAUCACCGUAAUGAUUAAUAGGGAUAGUUGGGGGCAUUAGUAUUCAAUUGUCAGAGGUGAAAUUCUUGGAUUUAUUGAAGACUAACUUCUGCGAAAGCAUUUGCCAAGGAUGUUUUCAUUAAUCAAGAACGAAGGUUAGGGGAUCGAAGACGAUCAGAUACCGUCGUAGUCUUAACCAUAAACUAUGCCGACUAGGAAUCGGGCGACGUUAUUUUCAUGACUCGCUCGGCGCCUUACGGGAAAC